rnacentral:lncRNA from 1 species
AUGUACAGGCCCCAUUUCAUGAUCAUUCUGCCCGUCUUUUGUGAUCUCCAACCUAUCUGCCUGCUUACUGCCUGUUUGUCUGUUAAUCUGUACGCCUGCCUCUGCCUGUCCAUCCGGCUGUCUGCCUGUGGGUACGACCGUCCCUCCAUGGGCCUGUCUGCCUCGCUAUUCAUCUAUCUGCCUGCCUGUCUGUCUCCCUGUGUCUGUGUGUCUGUCUCCCUCUGCCUGUCUGUCUCCCUGUGUCUGUGUGUCUGUCUCCCUCUGCCUCUCUGUCUCCCUGUGUCUGUGUGUCUGUCUCUCUCUGCCUGUCUGUCUCCCUGUGUCUGUGUGUCUGUCUCCCUCUGCCCGUCUGUCUCCCUGUGUCUGUGUGUCUGUCUCCCUCUGCCCGUCUGUCUCUGUGUCUGUGUGUCUGUCUCCCUUUGCCCGUCUGUCUCCCUGUGUCUGUGUGUCUGUCUCCCUCUGCCCGUCUGUCUCCCUGUGUCUGUGUGUCUGUCUCCCUCUGCCCGUCUGUCUCCCUGUGUCUGUGUGUCUGUCUCCCUCUGCCCGUCUGUCUCCCUGUGUCUGUGUGUCUGUCUCCCUCUGCCUGUCUGUCUCCCUGUGUCUGUGUGUCUGUCUCCCUGUGUCUGUGUGUCUGUCUCCCUGUGUCUGCCUGUCUGUCUCCCUGUGUCUGUGUGUCUGUCUCCCUCUGCCUGCGUCUGUCUCCCUGUGUCUGUGUGUCUGUCUCCCUCUGCCUGCCUCUGUCUCCCUGUGUCUGUGUGUCUGUCUCCCUCUGCCCGUCUGUCUCCCUGUGUCUGUGUGUCUGUCUCCCUCUGCCCGUCUGUCUCUCUGUGUCUGUGUGUCUGUCUCCCUUUGCCCGUCUGUCUCCCUGUGUCUGUGUGUCUGUCUCCCUCUGCCCGUCUGUCUCCCUGUGUCUGUGUGUCUGUCUCCCUCUGCCCGUCUGUCUCCCUGUGUCUGUGUGUCUGUCUCCCUCUGCCCGUCUGUCUCCCUGUGUCUGUGUGUCUGUCUCCCUCUGCCCGUCUGUCUCCCUGUGUCUGUGUGUCUGUCUCCCUCUGCCCGUCUGUCUCCCUGUGUCUGUGUGUCUGUCUCCCUCUGCCUGUCUGUCUCCCUGUGUCUGUGUGUCUGUCUCCCUGUGUCUGUGUGUCUGUCUCCCUGUGUCUGUGUGUCUGUCUCCCUGUGUCUGUGUGUCUGUCUCCCUGUGUCUGCCUGUCUGACUCCCUCUGCCCGUCUGUCUCCCUGUGUCUGUGUGUCUGUCUCCCUCUGCCUGUCUGUCUCCCUGUGUCUGCCUCUGUUCGUCUGCCUGCCCGCCUUUCGGUCUGUCUACCAGUACCUGGACCUCCUGCUGAUCCAGCUGUGCUCCGUCGUGGAGAAGCACACCGACAGCAGCGUGCUGGAGGCGUGUGCGUGUCUGGCCAGCGCUCUCUGCUCGGACGCAUACACCUUCUCGGCCCGCGCCGACCGGGCUUUCAGCCAGCUGCUGGACCUGUUGGCCGAGUGCUUCAACAGCUACUUUGA